rnacentral:rRNA from 1 species
UACGUAGGGUCCGAGCGUUGUCCGGAAUUACUGGGCGUAAAGGGCUCGUAGGCGGCCAACUAAGUCGGACGUGAAAUCCCCAGGCUUAACCUGGGAACUGCAUUCGAGACUGCAUUGCUAGAGUAUGGGAGAGGGAAGUGGAAUUUCCGGUGUAGCGGUGAAAUGCGUAGAUAUCGGAAGGAACAUCAGUGGCGAAAGCGACUUCCUGGACCAAUACUGACGCUCAUGUGCGAAAGCGUGGGGAGCAAACAGG